UACUAAAUUUAUCUGGAUGGAAAUCAAAGUCUAUCUAUAUAUAUUAUAAUAAAAAGACAUUCUUUCAUUCCUCAUCGAGCCACAUGUGAUUUCACGUAGGAAAGUCGCUUCUCUAGAAGAUGACAUGUGUCCUGUGAAGUCAUUAUCAUUUAUUUUGUGUGAAAUACAUGUGAGCUUCUGUGUGUAAACGGGCUUUAUGUUUUGCUAAAUAGAACCAUCCCGGUAAAGAGCAACAUCAAGUGUCUUGAAACGCGACGUUUUGAUUUUAGGGUUGAACCCGACAUUCAUCUCCGACAUAUGAGAUCUAAAGACAGCAUAUGGUUUCGAUGGCAUUGUUUCAUCUUCUUCCUAACAAUCCAAAGCUACCAGUUACAGAUUCAUCCUCUUAAUGUCUUACUUUAAUCCAUCACCCUCGAUCUCCCUUCAAUGAGAUCUUCACUCUUGCAAGGCGGUAGAACUGAGAGUAUAAAAGAUCCACCAUACUGAUGGUCCUGGAACGGAAAGCUACAGCUCGAUAUAUUGUGUGAUGGGAAACCAAAGUUAUCAACUUUAAGAAAUGGAGGCGAUGAUGGCGUUGCAGAAACUCCGCCGUGGAAUCUGAGGACGAGGCAAGCUGCUUGUAACGAACUUGGAGAUGAGCAGACAAGUAUCAUUGGCGUUAACAGAGGUAGAAACGAAGGGUGUGGUGAUGGAGAUUCUCAGAAACUGAAAUUCUCUGUUUCUUUGUUGAUGGAAGAAAUCGAAAAGUAUUUCACAGCCUUUGUUGAGAAAAACUUCCCCCAAGACCAAAGAAGAGACCAAGAAUUCUUCAAAAUCGAAUGAAUGUAAGUUCUCAGCUUUUUUUUUCUUAGCAUUUUCAUUCUUGGUUGCUGGAAGUAACAACAUGCUCUUAUGAGUUAUGACGUCCCUGAGGCUGCGGAAACAUGAUCAAGGUGUGAUUCUUUGGUUCCUUCAGUUUAGAGUCCACAAAAUUCAUGUUCUAUCAAUUUUAUGUUCUACUUUUGAAUCUUUUCAGUUGUAAAAAGAAAGAACAAAUAUAGCAACAUGCCAAAUUUUAGUGAAUGAAGCUUUUUUUACUUAUGUUUCUUAAUAUUCUUCUCUUUGUUUUUUGUAAAAGAGACGAGUGAAGUUUUUGUUACCAGAGCUAAUUGUAAUCUCCAACUAUUUUUAAUCAAUAAUGCAGUUCUCUGCAACUUUCUUACAUCUUUGUUUCUUAUUUUAUUUCUGGUUGGCUACUAUAUAUGUUACAUUAUGCACAGUUUUAUUGUGGUGUCCAAAAGAUGACAUCUACGAGUUUAGCUCUGGUUCAUGAAGAGAUUCUGAUGGUCAUAUCGGUCAAGAGGAGGAACACAACUUGGGGAUCUUUCAGUGUUAAGAGAAGCUUUCAGUGUUACUGCAUCAGUAUACUACUUCAAAAACUGAAAUAUGGGUGACUGAUAAUAAUGAGGAGACCAAUGCAGUGUCAUGGAGCACUGAAUUUGGGCUAUGAUCUUCAAAUUUCGAUUCUUCCUGGAUCCAGAGAAGGGAGGAGAAAGAUGUAGUAUGUUAUGAGAGAUGGAAUGACUAUGUCUAUGUGUCUAUUUUCGUCUAUGAUCAGUCUGUAUGAUGUGGAAAGACUAAUCUUGAAGCAAUGGCUAUCAUCAAAUAAUUAAAUCUCAGAUUAUCCAAGGUGUAUUGUAAUGGUCUCCAUAUUCUAUUUCAAGUAGCAUAAUUAAUAAAAUUCAAUUAAUUCCUCUUCUACGGCAAUUAUGAAGUCGGGUUUUCAAACUAACUAACAAAACGUAAAUAGUAGUCAAGGAAAUUUUUUUGAACCAAAAUAAUACAUUGAAAUUCUUCAUUUAGUUCCACAAACACGAGAACUCUACAUCGUAAAUCCUACAACUGCAGCAUAUAUAUACAAAGAUCAUGUCUCAAUCAAACAUGGAGUCAGCACAGACAACUAACUCACAACCUCACAAAUAAUAUUAACAAAGUACCAUAUCUAAUAUUACAUAAAUAAUACUAUAAUUAAUUAUACAUUUUAAUUCAAAUAAAUUUGAACAGUAAUCUAUGGUAAAAUGUAGUAAAUUUAUGAUCAAAACAAUGAAUUUUAAGAAAUUAAAAUUUAUAUUAUGAAAAUUAACCAGAAACAUUUUUGGUCAACUAAUCAGUAACAUUUAUUUCAAAAAUUAUAAUCGUUUAUAUAAGAAACAUGGUUUACUUGAUUUUCAAAUAUAGUAAAUAUAAAAAGUUAUAGCAAACAUGUAUAUUUUUUAUUUUCUUGGUCAAAUAUAUUAAUUAAAUAGUUAAUAUUACAUAAAUAAUUUUAUAAUUAAUUAUACAUUUUAAAUCAAACAAAAUUUCAACAAUGAUCUACUGUAACAACUAAAUUUAGUAUAAACAUAAGAUAAUCAACUAAAGUAUAUAAAAUUUAACAAAAAAUCUGUGAAUUUAUUUACAAGUUUUUUUCUUUUCUAUUAACAAGAAUAAAAAAAAAAGAAAA